rnacentral:rRNA from 1 species
UACGGAGGGGGUUAGUGUUGUUCGGAAUGACUGGGCGUAAAGCGCGCGUAGGCGGAUCAUCAAGUCGGGGGUGAAAUCCCGGGGCUCAACCCCGGAAUGGCCUUCGAGACUGGUGGUCUUGAGUUCGAGAGAGGUGAGUGGAAUUCCGAGUGUAGAGGUGAAAUUCGUAGAUAUUCGGAGGAACACCAGUGGCGAAGGCGGCUCACUGGCUCGACACUGACGCUGAGGUGCGAAAGCGUGGGGAGCAAACAGG